AAGGGCUGAUGGCCCCUGAGGAAGGAUGUCUUGUUGGAGCUCUCUCCUUUGUGGAGUUUUUCUGUGAGCCUGGGUCUUUAGAGACAGAUGCUCCCUGCCUCCAUUUCUCAGAGGAAGCCUGAGAGAAACAAGCACUGCUGACCUGCUGGCACCAGCAACAGGAAGAGCAGCCCUGUGUUUCCCUGCCCCAGCAGUGCACCUGUUCCUGGGGGCUGGAAGCAGUGUUGCUAUUAAUUGGCUGAAGUUGCCCUAUAAAACUUGAGCUUUAAGACUCAGAAACCUGAUAGCAGCUUGGAGUUCCCUUGGAAAUCACCAGAUGUGGCCCAAGAGCACCUAAAAGGAAGAGAGUAGUGAAACUGCUGCUCCUGAAAAUAAAGUAACUGAAUAAAGAUGAGACGGAGAGCUGUCUGAUUGCAAACUCCUCAUGCGGGAGGUUCUUCAGCAUCAGGUCCACAAUGGAUCUGUCAACUUCAGCAUUCCACAAACCACUCUGAACACGUCCUCUCUCACUCAGUACCUGAGUAGUGGGACUCAUAAAACCCUGCCUGCGUUGUGCAUCCAUGGAAGCCUCAAGAGCUCAUCCUGCCCCGACGGGUUCCCUUUCAAACCUGGAGUGAGAAGCAUCAGAGCAAAACAGGGCAUAAGGAUUUCCUUCCUUUUGUCAGCUUAAACGACGAUUUCUGCUUACAAACCGUCCCUCAAGAUAGCAGUAUUCACCCAGAGAGAGCCUGGAUUUAACUCCUUGCUUAAACACACAGUCUAUGGUACCUGCAGCAUCACCACACACCAGGAAUGCUGGUGGGGUGUGACAAAAGUCUUUGCUUAACCCUUCACGUAUGUAAACUUUUUGCCUCUCAAGAGUCUCAGUCAUAGAGUCUAUAUUAAAGAUGUCAUCCAUUGCUUUCAUAAAACAAGGACUGUCAGGGCAAAUUGUUGCUUUGAAUUUAUUGGAAUUCUAUUCACAAUUCAUUGUGGUUUAAACGUAAUGUUCCACUAAAUCAGAAACAAAACAUUUUGAGAAGCUUAUUAUUCCCCCCUAAAGCAUCUGAAUGUAUUUCUAAACUUAGAUCUUUUUUUUUUCUACUCUAAGGGUAACUCUUCAGGUAUCUUAGAGUUGAACCCAUUCAUCAACAUGCACAAAGCAGUAAAAUUACUUGGCUGAUCCAUUCCUGCAGUUUAACAGAAAAGACAGUGAAACCCUCGACCUUUACUAUGAAGGGGAAAUAAGUUUCACAUUAAAUUUCUCUUUCCAGUGGGAUUUUACAAAACUUAGAAUAGUCAAAAGUAUAUAUUUUUCUUUUAAAAUUAUCCAAGAGUUAGCGUUACAAGACUGUGGUGGCUGCAGGGAGAGCAGACAAAUUAAACUGACUCAAAUCAACACCAACAAAUACAACAGCGUUGUCUACGCUUGGAGAGAGGGAAGAUAUAAUCAAACAACACAGUGCACAGGGAAACCAUCAUCCUUCCUUUUUAGCGAGCCAGGUACUUGCUGUUACAUCAGUAAAGACAUGCUUUCCAGCCAUUACAAAUUGUACACUCCACAGCCAUUUAGCCAUACAGCAAACACACAACUUUAGCUUAUGUCUCUGCUUUUUGCUUUCCCCUUGGACAGAUGAGACACUGCAUUACACAAACGUAGGACAAGCAAGUGGCAUCUCUGCUGCACAACGUGGAUGAGACUCACCAG